rnacentral:rRNA from 1 species
ACGAACGCUGGCGGCGUGCUUCACACAUGCCAGUCGCACGGAAAGGCCCUGCUUUUGUGGGGUGCUCGAGUGGCGAACGGGUGAGUAACACGUGAGUAACCUGCCCUUGACUUUGGGAUAACUUCAGGAAACUGGGGCUAAUACCGGAUAGGAGCUCCUGCUGCAUGGUGGGGGUUGGAAAGUUUCGGCGGUUGGGGAUGGACUCGCGGCUUAUCAGCUUGUUGGUGGGGUAGUGGCUUACCAAGGCUUUGACGGGUAGCCGGCCUGAGAGGGUGACCGGCCACAUUGGGACUGAGAUACGGCCCAGACUCCUACGGGAGGCAGCAGUGGGGAAUAUUGCACAAUGGGCGGAAGCCUGAUGCAGCAACGCCGCGUGCGGGAUGACGGCCUUCGGGUUGUAAACCGCUUUCGCCUGUGACGAAGCGUGAGUGACGGUAAUGGAUAAAGAAGCACCGGCUAACUACGUG